rnacentral:ncRNA from 1 species
UUGGUGUUUUUUAUCCCCAAAAAGAGUUUUAUUCUUGCUUGUUUGUUUAUUAUUGGCUUGUUUUAUAUGUAAAUUUUUGUGUGAUUACUAUGCUGUUCUAAAUGGAUGGUGGUAUUGUGGUUUAUUCGCAUUAUUUAUUUUUAAAUAUUUAAGGUGUCUUAGAUUUAGCAAUGCUUUAAGUAUCGGUUAAUUUUGUGCCAGCAGCCGCGGUUAUACAUUGGAUGCAUAUUAACAUGGUUGGUUAAAGCAGUUGAAUGUUAAUUAUUUUGGAGUUUAAGUUGGGUCGUUGGGUGGAAUCUUGAUGUUUAUAACUUCAUUUGUUUAUGUUUUGAAGCUGUGAAAUCUUUGGUUAAACUAGGAUUAGAUACCCUAUUAUUUAUGAUGUAAAUUAUUUAAACCUGAGUAGUAUUAGAUAUGUUCUUGAAACUUAAAGAAUUUGGCGGUAUUUUACUCCUUUCAGAGGAAUCUGUCCCGUAAUCGAUAGUCCGCGUUGGACCUUGCUUAAUUUUUGUUUGUAUACCGCCGUUAUAACGAAGAUCUUUUUAGGGUUGUAAUUUUCUUGAUUUCUUGUUUGAUAAUAUUUCAGGUCAAGGUGCAAUUUAUAAUUAAGUGGAGAUGGAUUACAUUUAAAUUUAUUAUUGGAUUGUUGGUUGAAAUUUACUAACAUAAAAUUGGAUUUGAUAGUAAUUUGUUGUAGAUUGUACAAAUGGUAUUGGCUCUAUAAUAUGUACACAUCGCCCGUCGCUCUCGUUAUUUAGGCGAGAUAAGUCGUAACAAAGUGGUCGUACCGGAAGGUGUGGCUAGAGUGAGAUUAAU